AGCUAGAGUUGGGUAGGGGAGACUGGAAUUCCUGGUGUAGCGGUGGAAUGCGCAGAUAUCAGGAGGAACACCGAUGGCGAAGGCAGGUCUCUGGGCCAAUACUGACACUGAGGAGCGAAAGCGUGGGGAGCGAACAGGAUUAGAUACCCUGGUAGUCCACGCCGUAAACGGUGGGCGCUAGUUGUGCGAACCUUCCACGGUUUGUGCGACGCAGCUAACGCAUUAAGCGCCCCGCCUGGGGAGUACGAUCGCAAGAUUAAAACUCAAAGGAAUUGACGGGGCCCCGCACAAGCAGCGGAGCAUGCGGCUUAAUUCGACGCAACGCGAAGAACCUUACCAAGGCUUGACAUAUACAGGAAUAUGGCAGAGAUGUCAUAGCCGCAAGGUCUGUAUACAGGUGGUGCAUGGUUGUCGUCAGCUCGUGUCGUGAGAUGUUGGGUUAAGUCCCGCAACGAGCGCAACCCUCGUUCUGUGUUGCCAGCAUUAAGUUGGGGACUCACAGGAGACUGCCGGGGUUAACUCGGAGGAAGGUGGGGAUGACGUCAAAUCAUCAUGCCCCUUAUGUCUUGGGCUGCACGCAUGCUACAAUGGCUGGUACAAACGGCUGCGAUACCGCAAGGUGGAGCGAAUCCGAUAAAGCCAGUCUCAGUUCGGAUUGGGGUCUGCAACUCGACCCCAUGAAGUCGGAGUUGCUAGUAAUCGUAGAUCAGCAACGCUACGGUGAAUACGUUCCCGGGGCUUGUACACACCGCCCGUCACAUCACGAAAGUCGGUAACACCCAAAGUCAGUGGCCCAACCGUAAGGAGGGAGCUGCCAAAGGUGGGAUCGGUGAUUGGGAUGAAGUCGUAACAAGGUA
rnacentral:rRNA from 1 species